AACGAACGCUGGCGGCAUGCCUAACACAUGCAAGUCGAACGAAGGCUUCGGCCUUAGUGGCGCACGGGUGCGUAACGCGUGGGAAUCUGCCCUUUGGUUCGGAAUAACAGCUGGAAACGGCUGCUAAUACCGGAUGAUGACGAAAGUCCAAAGAUUUAUCGCCAGAGGAUGAGCCCGCGUUGGAUUAGGUAGUUGGUGGGGUAAAGGCCUACCAAGCCGACGAUCCAUAGCUGGUCUGAGAGGAUGAUCAGCCACACUGGGACUGAGACACGGCCCAGACUCCUACGGGAGGCGGCGGGGGGGAAUAUUGAAAAAGGGGCGAAGGCCUGAUCAAGCAAGGCGGGGGGAGUGAUGAAGGCCUUAGGGUUGAAAAGCUCUUUUCCCCGGGAAGAUAAUGACGUAACGGGGAGAAAAAGCCCCGGCUAACUCCGUG
rnacentral:rRNA from 1 species